UACGUAGGUGGCGAGCGUUGUCCGGAUUUAUUGGGCGUAAAGCGCGCGCAGGCGGUUGUCUAAGUCUGCUGUGAAAUCUCCCGGCUCAACUGGGGAGGGUCACGCGAUACUGAUCGACUCGAAGGCAGGAGAGGGUAGUGGAAUUCCCGGUGUAGUGGUGAAAUGCGUAGAUAUCGGGAGGAACACCAGUGGCGAAGGCGACUACCUGGCCUGUUCUUGACGCUGAGGCGCGAAAGCUAGGGGAGCAAACGGG
rnacentral:rRNA from 1 species